rnacentral:rRNA from 1 species
CAAGUCGAGCGGCAGCGCGGGGCAACCUGGCGGCGAGCGGCGAACGGGUGAGUAAUGCAUCGGAACAUGUCCAUGUCGUGGGGGAUAGCCCGGCGAAAGCCGGAUUAAUACCGCAUACGCCCGAGAGGGGAAAGUGGGGGACUCGAAAGGGCCUCACGCGAUUGGGUUGGCCGAUGUCCGAUUAGCUAGUUGGUGGGGUAAAGGCUUACCAAGGCGAUGAUCGGUAGCUGGUCUGAGAGGAUGAUCAGCCACACUGGGACUGAGACACGGCCCAGACUCCUACGGGAGGCAGCAGUGGGGAAUUUUGGACAAUGGGGGCAACCCUGAUCCAGCCAUUCCGCGUGAGUGAAGAAGGCCUUCGGGUUGUAAAGCUCUUUUGUCCGGAACGAAACGGUGAGCGUGAAUAUCGCUCGCUACUGACGGUACCGGAAGAAUAAGCACCGGCUAACUACGUGCCAGCAGCCGCGGUAAUACGUAGGGUGCGAGCGUUAAUCGGAAUUACUGGGCGUAAAGCGUGCGCAGGCGGUUUUGUAAGCCAGAUGUGAAAUCCCCGGGCUUAACCUGGGAAUGGCAUUUGGGACUGCAAGGCUGGAGUGCGGCAGAGGAGACUGGAAUUCCUGGUGUAGCAGUGAAAUGCGUAGAUAUCAGGAGGAAUACCGAUGGCGAAGGCAGGUCUCUGGGCUGACACUGACGCUCAUGCACGAAAGCGUGGGGAGCAAACAGGAUUAGAUACCCUGGUAGUCCACGCCCUAAACGAUGUCGACUGGUUGUUGGGGGGUUUGACACUCUCAGUAACGAAGCUAAC